rnacentral:misc_RNA from 1 species
UACCACCGCCAUGUCUCUUCGCAGAUCCUUUCUCUCUCGGAAGUUUUCUUCCAAGUCCUCCUCUAGAGAUCCCAAUGCUCUUGGGGGAAUUCUUCCGUUGUCCGCCUCGGACUUCGAUCAUGCCUCCGCUCUGCCCGGAGGGAGUGGCGGCGAUCGGAUGCAGGCUGAAUCCGCUUGGUCUUCCAUGCUACCCGAGCUUCUUCGCGAGAUCAUUCAGCGGGUUGAGGCUUCAGAAGACGCUUGGCCUAACCGCCACACCGUUGUUUCCUGUGCUUGUGUCUGUAAGCGUUGGCGGGAUAUUACUAAAGAGAUCGUCAGGGCCACACCUCAUUCCGGGAAAAUUACUUUCCCUUCUUGCCUCAAACAGCCUGGACCAAGUGAUCUUCCACAUCAGUGUCUCAUAAAAAGGAACAAGAAGACUUCAACAUUUUUCCUUUAUCUUGCCCUUACACCAUCAUUGACAGAUGAGGGAAAAUUCCUCUUAGCUGCACGGAGAUAUAGGCAUGGAG